GACGAACGCUGGCGGCGUGCUUAACACAUGCAAGUCGAACGGUGAAAGCGGAGCUUGCUCCGCUGGAUCAGUGGCGAACGGGUGAGUAACACGUGGGCAACCUGCCCCCCACUUCGGGAUAACUCCGGGAAACCGAGGCUAAUACCGGAUAUGACCUCCUUGGGCAUCCUUGGAGGUGGAAAGUUUUUCGGUGAGGGAUGGGCCCGCGGCCUAUCAGCUUGUUGGUGAGGUAGUGGCUCACCAAGGCGACGACGGGUAGCCGGCCUGAGAGGGUGACCGGCCACACUGGGACUGAGACACGGCCCAGACUCCUACGGGAGGCAGCAGUGGGGAAUAUUGCACAAUGGGCGCAAGCCUGAUGCAGCAACGCCGCGUGAGGGAUGACGGCCUUCGGGUUGUAAACCUCUUUUAGUAGGGAAGAAGCGAAAGUGACGGUACCUGCAGAAAAAGCACCGGCUAACUACGUGCCAGCCGCCGCCGUAA
rnacentral:rRNA from 1 species